UACAGAGGGUGCGAGCGUUAAUCGGAAUUACUGGGCGUAAAGCGCACGUAGGUGGCGACGUAAGUCGGGUGUGAAAGCCCCGGGCUCAACCUGGGAAUUGCAUUCGAGACUGCAUUGCUGGAGUACGGAAGAGGAGGGCGGAAUUCCCGGUGUAGCGGUGAAAUGCGCAGAUAUCAGGAGGAACACCGGUGGCGAAGGCGGUUCUCUGGGCAUUACCUGACGCUGAGGAGCGAAAGUGUGGGGAGCGAACAGG
rnacentral:rRNA from 1 species